rnacentral:lncRNA from 1 species
GUUUUUAUCAUUUGAAAGUAAUUGUUUUGAUUAAAAGAACAAUUGACAAUUUUCAGAAGGUUCGGCAUUAUUUUUCUAGUUAUAGACUCAUAAUUUUGCGACAGAACUUCUAGUUAUAGACUUGAUAAUCUUUACCAUGAGAUUGUGUGGACAACAUAGUUUGAGUUCUUUUAACCAUCCUUGAACUUUUGUUCAAGCCUAGUGACUUAUUUCUGUACAUGAAAAUCAUCCCACCUUUCAUCCUGUCCUGACAAACUGGGAUCAUGUAGACAGCACAUUUAGCCAUUAAGUUGAUUUGCAACCUAAUUUACCUACUUAUAUUAUUUAACUCUGUCUAACGUCAGACAAUUUUAUUAAGAAGGGGGCGCACUGGCAGUUAAUGGGGUAUAAACUAGGCACAUUGGCAUUCUCAUUAUGAAGCAUAAAAUCGUCUGGCGUUGGACAGUAUAAAAUACUCAAGUAGAGCAUGCAUCAGGGCACAGUAUACAACCUAAUGGUUUAAUUUCUUUUUGUAGCAAAAUGGUUUAAGUUUUAUAUCUGAAUUAAUUCAUUUUUUCCUUGUUUUACAGAUCAUUACUGAUGAAUUGUGACUAUACUAAAUGGAUACAAAGAGACUAUGAUGGAUAAAUAUGGCCCCGUAAUGGGAUAUUCAGUUGAUGGACAUACAAAGGUUGCAGAAAUGUCUACUUUCAGGUACUGUUGUUUCUUGUUUGCCUGCAAACAGGCUGUAGAUACUUGUUACAAUGAAAUCCGGCAUAAAUCCUGGCGGUCUAAAUGUUCAGUAUAUUUACACAUUCGAUCUAUUUUCUGUUCAGUAGACUUUGAUAGCUUCAAUGAAAGUUUACGAUGACUUUCUUUGCAAAAACUGUACUUUCGAAGUUCGUCAGCUUCUGAAUUUGAAAACGGAUCUGAAAAGAGAGAA